rnacentral:tRNA from 1 species
AGAAAGAUGGCUGAGUGGUUUAUAGCGACAAAUUGCUAAUUUGUUUUAUAAUAAUAAAAAAUAUUAUUGUAACAAGGGUUCAAAUCCCUUUCUUUCUA